CCUACGGGGUGCAGCAGUGGGGAAUAUUGGGCAAUGGAGGAAACUCUGACCCAGCAACGCCGCGUGAAUGAUGAAGGUCUACGGAUUGUUAAGUCCUUUUCUAAGGGAAGAAGAAAGUGACGGUACCUUAGGAAUAAGCCUCGGCUAACUACGUGCCAGCAGCCGCUGUAAUCCGUAGGCGGCGAGCAUUAUCCGGAAUGACUGGGGGUAAAGGGUGCGUAGGUGGUUUGGCAAGUUAGUAGCGUAACUCCAAGGCUCAACCUUGGAACUACUACUAAAACUGGUGGACUUGAGUGCAGGAGGGGCAACCGGAAUGCCUAGUGUAGCGGUGGAAUGCGUAGAUAUUAGGAGGAACACCAGUGGCGAAGGCGGGUUGCUAGACUUUCACUGACACUGAGGCACGAAAGCGUGGGGAGCAAACAGGAUUAGAUACCCUGGUAGUC
rnacentral:rRNA from 1 species